UACGAAGGGGGCUAGCGUUGCUCGGAAUCACUGGGCGUAAAGGGUGCGUAGGCGGGUCUUUAAGUCAGGGGUGAAAUCCUGGAGCUCAACUCCAGAACUGCCUUUGAUACUGAAGAUCUUGAGUUCGGGAGAGGUGAAUGGAACUGCGAGUGUAGAGGUGAAAUUCGUAGAUAUUCGCAAGAACACCAGUGGCGAAGGCGGCUCACUGGCCCGAUACUGACGCUGAGGCACGAAAGCGUGGGGAGCAAACAGG
rnacentral:rRNA from 1 species